AACGAACGCUUGCGGCAGGCCUAACACAUGCAAGUUGAACGAUAGGCUGGCUUUUGUCAGCUGAAAGUAGCGAACGGGUGCGUAACACGUGGGAACAUACCUCUAGGAGGGGGACAGCUACGGGAAACUGUAGUUAAUACCGCAUGACCUCUACGGAGCAAAGAUUUUUUCGCCUAGAGAUUGGCCCGCGCUCGGAUUAGAUAGUUGGUGGGGUAAUAGCCUACCAAGUCUGCGAUCGAUAGCUGGUUUGAGAGAAUGAUCGGCCACACUGGGACUGAGAUACGGCCCAGACUCCUACGGGGAGGCAGCAGUGAGGAAUAUUGGACAAUGGACCAAAAGUCUGAUCCAGCAAUUCUGUGUGCACGAUGAAGGUUUUCGGAUCGUAAAGUGCUUUCAGUAGGGAAGAAAAAA
rnacentral:rRNA from 1 species